CUAGGCCAUGCGAGUCAUUGUAGCAAUACAAGGCGGACGGCUCAGUAACACGUAGUCAACCUAACUCGUGGACGUGGAUAACAUCGGGAAACUGAGAAUAAACCACGAUAGACCAUAGUGCCUGGAAUGGCUUAUGGUCCAAACAGUUUACUGCCAUGGGAUGGGACUGCGGCCUAUCAGCUUGUUGGUGAGGUAAUGGCCCACCAAGGCGAUUACAGGUACGGGCUCUGAGAGGAGAAGCCCGGAGAUGGGUACUGAGACACGGACCCAGGCCUAUGGGGCGCAGCAGGCGAGAAACCUUAGCAAUGUGCGAAAGCACGACUGGGUCAGUCCGAGUGAUUCCUGACAAAGGAGUCUUUUGCUUGUCCUAAAAGCACAGGUGAAUAAGGGGUGGGCAAGUCUGGUGUCAGCCGCCGCGGUAAUACCAGCACCUCGAGUGGUCAGGACGUUUAUUGGGCCUAAAGCAUCCGUAGCCGGCUUUGCAAGUCUUCGGUUAAAUCCACCUGCUCAACAGAUGGGCUGCUGGAGAUACUACAAAGCUAGGGAGUGGGAGAGGCAGACGGUAUUCAGUGGGUAGGGGUAAAAUCCUCUGAUCCAUUGAGGACCACCAGUGGCGAAGGCGGUCUGCCAGAACACGUUCGACGGUGAGGGAUGAAAGCUGGGGGAGCAAACCGGAUUAGAUACCCGGGUAGUCCCAGCUGUAAACGAUGCAAACUCAGUGAUGCAUUGGCUUAUGGCCAAUGCAGUGCCGCAGGGGAGCCGUUAAGUUUACCGCCU
rnacentral:rRNA from 1 species